rnacentral:lncRNA from 1 species
AUAUAUAUAUAUAUAUAUAUCAAUUAUUCGGGCGGGGAGGACAUAUACACCACCUCCGAACAUAUACACCUAUACCCGAAUAGUUGAUAGAAUAUAAUUUGAAUAUGAUUGAAAACUAAAAAAAAAAGUAAAUAAUAAUUAAAAAUAAUGAAAAAUAUUAAAUCUUAAGAGCCAUCGUUAGCAUGUGUUAGGCAUAUAAGACCCAUCAUCAGCAUACAAGAUCACAAAUGCAUGGGAUCCUAUGAUUUAUGGUGUGCAGAUGAAGAAUAGCCAAGGAAGCAGACAAUAAGGCUGCAGUGUGUCGUAGACACUAUCAUUAAAGCGCAAGACUACUCCCAAAAUGAAGGAAGCCACGUUCGUAUGCAACCAAAGAGUAAAGUGGCAGCCAAAAGACUCCUUAUCACCAUGCAUGCAUGCAUCCAAAAGUUAUAAAAGAAGCCUAGCACCUAUAAAGGAGGUGCAUCAUGGACAUGGAGAAAGGUGAGGUAAAUAAUGCAUGGGAGCACUAUUUGAGCCAGCCAUGGUGCCUAUAUAAGGAGGCUCUUUGCAGCAUUGGAGGACACACAACCAUCGAGCAAAACACAAGCCUUCAGAGCAGCAAAUAGUUCAGGGCAGCUAGCCAGAAAACUAUCUGCUCUCUAGUAGUAGUACCACUUCCCACUGUAAUAAACCCUGUGUAAUCAAAGCAUUUGUAACAUAAGACUGGGA